rnacentral:piRNA from 1 species
UGCCCUAUUGGUUGGUUGUUGCCUGGCCU